rnacentral:rRNA from 2 species
ACUGCGAGUGAAGCGGGAAAAGCUCAAAUUUAAAAUCUGGUAGUCUUUGGCUGCCCGAGUUGUAAUCUAGAGAAGUGUUAUCCGCACUGGACCGUGUACAAGUCUCCUGGAAUGGAGCGUCAUAGAGGGUGAGAAUCCCGUCUUUGACACGGACUACCAGGGCUUUGUGAUGCGCUCUCAAAGAGUCGAGUUGUUUGGGAAUGCAGCUCUAAAUGGGUGGUAAAUUCCAUCUAAAGCUAAAUAUUGGCGAGAGACCGAUAGUGAACAAGUACCGUGAGGGAAAGAUGAAAAGAACUUUGGAAAGAGAGUUAAACAGUACGUGAAAUUGUUGAAAGGGAAACGCUUGAAGUCAGUCGUGUUGGCCAGGGAUCAACCUUGCUUCUUGCUUGGUGUACUUUCUGGUUAAUGGGUCAGCAUCAAUUUUGACCAGUGGAAAAAGACUAGGGGAAUGUGGCAUCUUCGGAUGUGUUAUAGCCCUUGGUUGCAUACACUGGUUGGGAUUGAGGAACUCAGCACGCCGCAAGGCCGGGUUUUUACCACGUUCGUGCUUAGGAUGCUGGCAUAAUGGCUUUAAUCGACCCGUCUUGA